AUAUCAGCAUAUAGUAACAAAAAUAAUAGUAAUAAUAACAAUAAUAAUAGGCAAAAGUUAAUAUCGAAAGUAGAUAAUCAGUCAAGUUUAUAUAAAUAUGCAUAUACUACAAGCUCGUCCACGUGGCAAAAACUUCGUCUGGUAAACUGUAAAGUUUCUGUCUAAAUUGAUGUUGUGUUAUCGUCGGAUCAAUGAAAAGUGCUGCUAAAUUGAAUAGUCGACAUGCACUGUUGAAUGGAGACAUACUAGAAUGAUCGGUUCGGCAGAGCUUGAUACGUAUAAAUUCUGGAUUCCGUAACGUUCUAACGCCUGUAUUCAAGUUCAUUUGUGAUAUAAGGAACGGGGCGUUAUAUUUUCCGAUGAUGAUUAAGUUAUCAUUUAUUUUUAGGUCUGCGCUCCCGAAAAUUCAAACAAUAAAUCAUAGACCGGUGCUAAGCAUAAGCCCGAAUCAAAAAGCUGCCUUGCAGUCGUGAAUCCAACGAUGGAGACAAUGAUGAAAAACCAAAAUUGGGUCUACGAAGGCGAAAUCUCAAGCCAUAUCCACAUAUCGAUUGUGUCAGAAACCUAAAAGUUGAAAAUUAUUUACUCUCAUCUCAUACUAUGGUGAACACGAAUUUUUGCAGCGAUUUGAUGGAUAUGUGUGUGUAUUUAUAAGUGGAUAUCAUCAUCCACGUAAACUUAAUGCCAAAUCGGGAUAUUCCGUCUAUUUUGGUCCGGAUCAUCCAUUGUAAGAAUUUGCAAGGAAGUGUUGAGCGCCG